rnacentral:rRNA from 1 species
UGGGCGCAAGCCUGAUGCAGCCAUGCCGCGUGUAUGAAGAAGGCCUUCGGGUUGUAAAGUACUUUCAGCAGUGAGGAAGGUGGUGUCGUUAAUAGCGGCAUCAUUUGACGUUACCUACAGAAGAAGCACCGGCUAACUCCGUGCCAGCAGCCGCGGUAAUACGGAGGGUGCGAGCGUUAAUCGGAAUUACUGGGCGUAAAGCGCAUGCAGGCGGCCUGUUAAGUCAGAUGUGAAAGCCCGGGGCUUAACCUCGGAAUUGCAUUUGAAAACUGGCAGGCUAGAGUCUUGUAGAGGGGGUAGAAUUUCAGGUGUAGCGGUGAAAAUGCGUAGAGAUCUGAAGGAAUACCAGUGGCGAAGGCGGCCCCCUGGACAAAGACUGACGCUCAGAUGCGAAAGCGUGGGGAGCAAACAGGAUUAGAUACCCUGGUAG